rnacentral:rRNA from 1 species
UACGAAGGGGGCGAGCGUUGUUCGGAAUUACUGGGCGUAAAGCGCGCGUAGGCGGCUUUGUAAGUUAGAGGUGAAAGCCCGGAGCUCAACUCCGGAACUGCCUUUAAAACUGCAUCGCUUGAAUCCAGGAGAGGUGAGUGGAAUUCCGAGUGUAGAGGUGAAAUUCGUAGAUAUUCGGAAGAACACCAGUGGCGAAGGCGGCUCACUGGACUGGUAUUGACGCUGAGGUGCGAAAGCGUGGGGAGCAAACAGG